rnacentral:rRNA from 1 species
UACGUAGGGGGCAAGCGUUGUCCGGAUUUAUUGGGCGUAAAGAGCGUGUAGGCGGCCGCACAGGUCCGUUGUGAAAACUGGAGGCUUAACCUUCAGACGUCGAUGGAAACCGUGCGGCUAGAGUCCGGAAGAGGAGAGUGGAAUUCCCGGUGUAGCGGUGAAAUGCGCAGAGAUCGGGAGGAACAUCAAUGGCGAAAGCAGGUAUCUGGACUAUUACUGGCACUCAGCUGCGAAAGCUAGGGGAGCAAACAGG